rnacentral:rRNA from 1 species
AGGAUGAACGCUGGCGGCGUGCUUAACACAUGCAAGUCGAACGAUGAAGGCUGGAGCUUGCUCUGGCUGGAUUAGUGGCGAACGGGUGAGUAACACGUGAGUAACCUGCCCCUGACUCUGGGAUAAGCGCUGGAAACGGCGUCUAAUACCGGAUACGAGCUUCCACCGCAUGGUGAGGAGCUGGAAAGAAUUUCGGUCUGGGAUGGACUCGCGGCCUAUCAGCUUGUUGGUGAGGUAAUGGCUCACCAAGGCGACGACGGGUAGCCGGCCUGAGAGGGUGACCGGCCACGACUGGGACUGAGACACGGCCCAGACUCCGUA